UUUUACUUUCAUAUCCUUCUAUUUUAAUUUAAAACAUAUUAAAUCAUGAACUUUGAAAACAGUUACAAUGUGGACUCUCUGUUUACAUUCAGUAGAAUUUAUAGACGAAAACAUUGGAGUUUUCAAAUUAGUAUAAAAAAUAAGAUUCUUUUAAAAAAACUUAUCGUUCUUUCAAAAUUUUAUACUUUUCCGGUUCUUCUUGACAAGAGUUUAAAAAUAUAAAUUUUUUCAUCUAAUUUGAAUAAAAGUUUACUAAAUACGAAAAAAAAUACUUUUUUUCCUCUUUAUAGGAUAUGUACUUGACAUACGACUAUUUUCGUUCACAUAUUCUAACGGAGGUGGACGGAGGGUCCACAUUGCGGUUUUGAAGUUCAAGAUGAAAUAUAUUCAAAUUGAAACAAGAGGGACAAAAGUAAAAUUUGAGUGAAGAUUAAAGGAUAUAAAAUAAAACUACCCUUCAAAAAGUAUAGGAGAGGUAAAUUGUAAGGUCAGUACAAUUUAUCCUUUAAGAUAUUAUAGUGUUCAAGUGUGAUUUUUUUAAUUUUUUUUAAAUUGAUGGGCGAUAUUUACUAGUAGCAUAACAUACUUCAACUUCGAUAAAUAAAUAGUGUGAGAAUAUCCCACAACAAAUACUCAAAGGUCUAAUUAAUUUGUACUAUGAAAAAAAAUUAAAUUUUGCGCUUUUCAUGAAUUGAAUCCCUAACUAGAGGGCGUACGUGAGUAGCAAAAUGAAUUAGCCUUAAUUUAUUGUGAUAUUUUACAUAUAAUUUCUUAUAUUUAAAAUAUAAGACAAUGUUUUAAUACAGAAUUGUGCCAUAAAUUCUUCCUAGGAUAAAGAAUUCGAUAAAAAGACUGCAUAUGUUUUUUAGAGCAAGAAAAAUAGAAACGUCAGUUGUUCAAUCUAGUAUAGUCCUUUGGGCCCAUAGUUGAACCCACUUAAUCCGAGCCAUUUCCAUUUCGAUUUAUGAAUAACUCUUCUACGCCAAAAAACAAGUUGGCGGAUAACAAUUAUCACAUGUUUACAUCAAUUUUGUAUGAAGAAAAUGGACAAUUAUACUUAAAAUUGUAUGAAAAAGUACGGACAAUUCAUUUUCUUAUAAAACUAAUCUGAAUAUAUAUGGUUAUCGUUAUUCCGAUCAAUUUUUUAAUUUUUUUAUUGAUGAUGUAGUUGGGAACCGUAAAGGUGAAAUUCUCACAUCAUCAAAAUGAAUUCAACCAUGCAUCUAAUGGCCCAAUCCAGAUUGAAACUAGAGAGGAGUCGUCUCCUCCAUCUAUAAUCCAUAAACAAAAUGAGUUCAUGUUUAUCUUGUUUCACAUCAUAUAAUAUACUAUAUGGCCUUAUUUCCUUGACUGGAUAUAAAUGAGAAAAGGAAUAUAUAAUCCCAAGGAUUUAGUUCUGGAUAUGUAUAUUAUUGUCGUUGGAACAAUCCCUUAUUUGUUUUCGACCGAAUAUGACUAUAUAUACAUACCCCGUUAGAUAGCGUAGUAAAAGGAAAAUAUCAUGAGUUUAGGAGAAGGUUUUGAAUAACAAAGCAAAAAUAUUAGCACCACUCCAAAUUAUAGAAACUUGGCUAUCACAAAACAUAGCAAAUGCGACAAGCGCAAAAUAAUACAAAGCCCACAUAUCUAUUUCAAACAAGAUAGUACACAAUAUGCUUGAGAUGUUCCUUGAAAAAGUAUAGAUCCCACAAGCUACAAAAAAGGAGUGCUAAAAUGCAAUCGGAUGAAGGCGAAAACAUGGAUGGAAGAAAUAGGAAGAUAGGAUUUGGUCAUACAGAUUGAUCGAGGACGUGGGAAUUCCGGGGAUCCUUUGAGCUUUCUUCUUCAGUUCAGCUUUCUUUUUCAGUUGCAGCAAGAGGAAGCAGAAAUAGGGUUUACUAGAACGUAGCUUUUAUAUAGCUCAAGGGGUAAAAUCGUAAUUAUAUGUUAAGUCCCAACACAUGGAUUCCAAAUACUAUCCCCGUUUGGCAUUGCAUAUCUUGGGCCAUGUUUGUUUGGCCGGACUGGACUGGAUCGUUGUCCAGUCCCGCGUUAUUUUAUAGAAAAUGACUU
rnacentral:lncRNA from 1 species